rnacentral:rRNA from 1 species
GGGGGGGCGUGUCGGAGUUCUGGGCGUAAGGGCCCGCAGGCGGAAGGGUGCGUUUGGUGUGACAGCUCGUGGCUUCACUACGAGAGGAUACCAAAGAUGGCCGUUCUUGAGGGCCAGAGAGGGACCUGGAAGUCCGGGUGGAGCGGUGAAAUGCGUAGAGAUCCGGAGGAACACCGAAAGCGAAGGCAGGGUCCUGGCUGGUACCUGACGCUCGUGGGCGAAAGCUAGGGGAGCGAACGGGAUUAGAUACCCCGGUAGUCCUAGCCGUAAACGAUGACCACUAGGUGUGCGACGUAUCGACCCGUUGCGUGCCGGAGGUAACCCAUUAAGUGGUCCGCCUGGGGAGUACGGUCGCAAGAUUAAAACUCAAAGGAAUUGACGGGGACCCGCACAAGCAGCGGAGCGUGUGGUUUAAUUCGAUGCGACGCGAAGCACCUUACCAGGGUUUGACAUGCGCGCUGAGCGUCCAGAGAUGGGCGGGCCCGCAAGGGAGGCGCGCACAGGUGCUGCAUGGCUGUCGUCAGCUCGUGCCGUGAGGUGUUGGGUUAAGUCCCGCAACGAGCGCAACCCCUGUCGCCGGUUGAACGAUCCGGCGAGACUGCCACGUUGAACGUGGAGGAAGGUGGGGAUGACGUCAAGUCAGCACGGCCCUGAUGUCCUGGGCGACACACACGCUACAAUGGCCGAGACAACGGGUCGCCAACCCGCGAGGGGGAGCCAAUCCCAGCAAAGUCGGCCCCAGUUCAGAUUGCAGGCUGCAACCCGCCUGCAUGAAGGAGGAGUUGCUAGUAACCGUGGGUCAGCAUACCACGGUGAAUACGUUCCCGGGUCUUGUACACACCGCCCGUCACACCACGAAAGUCGGCAACACCUGAAGCCGCUGGGCUAACGCACAAGCGAGGCACGCGUCGAGGGUGGGGUCGGUGAUUGGGGUGAAGUCGUAACAAGGUAACC